rnacentral:rRNA from 1 species
AGUGAACGCUGGCGGCGUGCUUAACACAUGCAAGUCGAACGAGAACGGAUUAUAGCUUGCUAUAAUUGUCAGCUAAGUGGCGCACGGGUGAGUAAUGUAUAGGUAAUAUGCCUCUUACUAAGGGAUAACAAAUGGAAACGUUUGCUAAUACCUUAUACUCCUUAUUAACAGAAGUUAAUAAGGGAAAGAUGUUAUUGGUAAGAGAUUAGCCUGUAUUGUAUCAGUCAGUUGGUGGGGUAAUGGCUUACCAAGACUAUGACACAUAACUGGUUUGAGAGGAUGAUCAGUCACACUGGAACUGAGACACGGUCCAGACUCCUACGGGAGGCAGCAGUGGGGAAUAUUGCACAAUGGACGAAAGUCUGAUGCAGCAACGCCGCGUGGAGGAUGACUCAUUUCGGUGCGUAAACUCCUUUUAUAUGAGAAGAUAAUGACGGUAUUAUAUGAAUAAGCACCGGCUAACUCCGUGCCAGCCGCCGCGGUAA